AGUGAUCCUGCGCCGAAGAUUUCCGGGGCUAAAACUUACUACCGAAGCUACGGCAUCAGUAAUGAUGGGUAGGGGAGCUUCCCAUACAGGUUGAAGCAUGACCGUAAGGACAUGUGGACAGUAUGGGCGUGAGAAUGUUGGCAUGAGUAGCGAGAUGUGGGUGAGAAUCCCACAGGCCGUAAACCCAAGGUUUCCAGGGGAAGGUUCGUCCGCCC
rnacentral:rRNA from 1 species